rnacentral:rRNA from 1 species
GAACGCUGGCGGCGUGCCUAAUACAUGCAAGUCGAGCGAACUGAUUAGAAGCUUGCUUCUAUGACGUUAGCGGCGGACGGGUGAGUAACACGUGGGCAACCUGCCUGUAAGGCUGGGAUAACUUCGGGAAACCGAAGCUAAUACCGGAUAGGAUCUUCUCCUUCAUGGGAGAUGAUUGAAAGAUGGUUUCGGCUAUCACUUACAGAUGGGCCCGCGGUGCAUUAGCUAGUUGGUGAGGUAACGGCUCACCAAGGCCACGAUGCAUAGCCGACCUGAGAGGGUGAUCGGCCACACUGGGACUGAGACACGGCCCAGACUCCUACGGGAGGCAGCAGUAGGGAAUCUUCCGCAAUGGACGAAAGUCUGACGGAGCAACGCCGCGUGAGUGAUGAAGGCUUUCGGGUCGUAAAACUCUGUUGUUAGGGAAGAACAAGUAUGAGAGUAACUGCUCGUACCUUGACGGUACCUAACCAGAAAGCCACGGCUAACUACGUG